rnacentral:rRNA from 1 species
UACGUAGGGUGCGAGCGUUGUCCGGAAUUAUUGGGCGUAAAGAGCUCGUAGGCGGUGUGUCACGUCGUUCGUGAAAACCUGCAGCUUAACUGUGGGCGUGCGGUCGAUACGGGCAUCACUGGAGUUCGGCAGGGGAGACUGGAAUUCCUGGUGUAGCGGUGAAAUGCGCAGAUAUCAGGAGGAACACCGGUGGCGAAGGCGGGUCUCUGGGCCGAUACUGACGCUGAGGCGCGAAAGCCAGGGGAGCGAACGGG